GACGAACGCUGGCGGCGUGCUUAACACAUGCAAGUCGAACGAUGAACCGGAGCUUGCUCUGGGGAUUAGUGGCGAACGGGUGAGUAACACGUGGGCAACCUGCCCCAGACACCGGGAUAACCAUUCGAAAGGAUGGCUAAUACCGGACACGACCACUUCGGGCAUCCGAUGGUGGUGGAAAGGAUUCUGGUCUGGGAUGGGCCCGCGGCCUAUCAGCUUGUUGGUGGGGUAAUGGCCUACCAAGGCGACGACGGGUAGCCGGCCUGAGAGGGCGAGCGGCCACACUGGGACUGAGACACGGCCCAGACUGCUACGGGAGGCAGCAGUGGGGAAUAUUGCGCAAUGGGCGAAAGCCUGACGCAGCGACGCCGCGUGAGGGACGAAGGUCUUCGGAUUGUAAACCUCUUUCAGCAGGGAUGAAGCGAAAGUGACAGUACCUGCAGAAGAAGCACCGGCUAACUACGUGCCAGCCGCCGCCGUAAUAC
rnacentral:rRNA from 1 species